rnacentral:rRNA from 1 species
AGUGAACGCUGGCGGUAGGCCUAACACAUGCAAGUCGAACGGCAGCACAGUAAGCGCUUGCUCUUACGGGUGGCGAGUGGCGGACGGGUGAGGCAUACAUCGGAAUCUACUUUUUCGUGGGGGAUAACGUAGGGAAACUUACGCUAAUACCUCAUACGACCUACGGGUUAAAGCAGUGGAUCUUCGGACCUUUCGCGAUUGAAUGAGCCGAUGUCGAAUUAGCUAGUUGGCUGGGUAAAGGCCCACCAAGGCGACGAUCCGUAGCUGGUCUGAGAGGAUGAUCGGCCAAACUGGAACUGAGACACGGUCCAGACUCCUACGGGAGGCAGCAGUGGGGAAUAUUGGACAAAGGGCGAAAGCCUGAUCCAGCAAUACCGCGUGAGUGAAGAAGGCCUUCGGGUUGUAAAGCCCUUUUGUUGGGAAAGAAAAGCAGCAGGUUAAUACCCCGCUGUUCUGACGGUACCCAAAGAAUAAGCACCGGCUAACUUCGUG